CCAGGUAUGAUGUUGCUGUGGAAACUCAGAGCCCAAAGCCUCAAAGAACACUCAUGUCUAAUCUUAGCUACUUUAUCCACCUGCUUAUGGCUCAUUAGCAAAAGUAGCCUGGUGCGAUAGGAGAUGUUCACGGUAUCAGUAUUCAACCCAGCUCUCUAGAGAAAGGCCACAGUCCCAGACUUUUUCCUGGGUGCAUGGGAAUCUUGGACAAUCUUUUUUUUUUUUUUUUUAAAGAUUUAUUUAUUUAUUAUUAUAUGUAAGUACACUGUAGUUGUCUUCAGAUACCCCAGAAGAGGGCAUCAGAUCUCAUUACGGAUGGUUGUGCGCCACCAUGUGGUUGCUGGGAUUAGAACUCAGGACCUCUGGAAGAGCAGUCAGUGUUCUUAACAGAUUGAUCUGGGUCUACUAAGACUCAGCAGGAGUUCAGGGAAGUGGAGAAGCCAAGACCCAGUGAUGACAGUAUCGUUAACUACAUGGACCGCAGACUAACAAUGCCAAUGCAGAUGAUGGAUGGCGGUGAUGUCAGAGAUGCUGAUGCGACCUGUUCAGCGUCCCUCUUGGUCUCAUUCUAAGUGCUUUUCAUGUAGCAACUCACUCGAUCCUCAUCUUCGCCGCAUAAAAUCAAUACCAUUAAAAACUUUU
rnacentral:lncRNA from 1 species